rnacentral:rRNA from 1 species
UACAUGGGGUGCAAGCGUUGCUCGGAAUCAUUGGGCGUAAAGCGCGCGUAGGCGGUUACUUAAGUCGGAUGUGAAAGCCCUCGGCUUAACCGAGGAAGUGCAUCCGAAACUGAGUAGCUAGAGUACUAAAGAGGGUCGCGGAAUUCCCGGUGUAGAGGUGAAAUUCGUAGAUAUCGGGAGGAACACCGGUGGCGAAGGCGGCGACCUGGGUAGAUACUGACGCUGAGGCGCGAAAGCGUGGGGAGCAAACAGG